rnacentral:rRNA from 1 species
UUCCGUAGGUGAACCUGCGGAAGGAUCAUUAAUGAUUGCGAAUCGUUGCCUUCUGUGCUGGCCAGCCACUGGCAAGUGCACGUCGGUGAUGUUCAUCCAACACCCUGUGGACCUUUGGCCUCUUGCUAGCUUCGGCCGGCAGAGGAAUUUACACAAACUCGAAUGUAAUGAAUUUUACUGUCGUGCGCAAGCACUAAUGUACAACUUUCAACAACGGAUCUCUUGGCUCUCGCAUCGAUGAAGAACGCAGCGAAAUGCGAUAAGUAAUGUGAAUUGCAGAAUUCAGUGAAUCAUCGAAUCUUUGAACGCACCUUGCACCCUUUGGCAUUCCGAAGGGUAUGCUCGUUUGAGUGUCAUUGUACUCUCACACUCCCGAUCGUUCGAUUGGGAGCGGUGGACUUGGGUGUUGCUGCUUGCCGUGGCUCACCUCAAAUGGGUUCGUGCACCUCUUGGUUGGACAUAGUACGGCGUGAUAAGUGUCUUCGCCGGCGCCUCAGUAGAGGGUGGCCGAUCGGGAGCUCUGUGCUUCCAACCGUCCUCGGACAACGACUGACAACUUGACCUCAAAUCGAGUAGGACCACCCGCUGAACUUAAGCAUAUCAAUAAGCGGAGGAAAAGAAACUAACAAGGAUUCCCCUAGUAACGGCGAGUGAAGAGGGAAGAGCUCAAAUUUUGAAUCUGGCGUCUUUGGCGUCCGAAUUGUAAUCUAGAGAAGUGUUUUCCGUGACGGACCGUGCAUAAGUCUCCUGGAAUGGAGUGUCAUAGAGGGUGAGAAUCCCGUAUAUGGCACGGACUCCCGUUGCUCUGCGAUACACUCUCGACGAGUCGAGUUGUUUGGGAAUGCAGCUCUAAAUGGGUGGUAAAUGCCAUCUAAAGCUAAAUAUUGGCGAGAGACCGAUAGCGAACAAGUACCGUGAGGGAAAGAUGAAAAGCACUUUGGAAAGAGAGUGAAACAGUACGUGAAAUUGUUGAAAGGGAAACGCUUGAAGUCAGUCGCGCCGUUCGGGAUUCAGCCUUGCUUCUGCUCGGUUUACUUCCCGUUGGGUGGGUCAACAUCAGUUUCGGUCGGAGGAGAAAGACGUGGGGAAGGUGGCAGCAUUCGUGCUGUGUUAUAGCCCCGUGUUGUAUACUUCGGCUGGGACUGAGGACCGCAGCACGCCUCUGGCCGGGGUUCGCCCACGUACGUGCUUAGGAUGUUGGCAUAAUGGCUUUAAGCGACCCGUCUUG